ensembl:lncRNA
GCGUCUUCUGUCUAUGAGCUGUUCCCUGUGCACAUUAGGUUGGGUUUUCUUUGUCUUUCUGUUUUUUUUUUUUUCUUCUGGUUUCUUCCCCUUUAGGUAUAUCUACAAUGUUUAGAUGGAUGCUUCUAAGGAUGAUGUUAUUGCUCUGGAUGACAAGCGUAACACUUCAGGGUGGCACAGGAUACAAACCUCAAAAUCCAAAUGGUGGUGCAGCACAAAUGUCACCAAAAGAUUAUGGUUUGGGUACAAAUAGCAACUCAGCAAAUAUGAAAGGAAACGGUUAUCCUGUUAACAAAGGUACAGUUGCAUAUGGGAGUGCACAAAAUAAGCCUGGAUACGGAGGUCGUCCCCAGUAUGGUGGAACAGGCAUGGGAAUGAUGAACCAACAUGCACUGAAGCAGAGGGGAGGUUAUGGUAAUGGCUACAGAGCUCCAUCUUAUGGGGGCUACAGCAAUUUGAUGGGUGCUCAUCCCCAAAAAGGAGUUGGUCUAGCUAACAAGGGACAAGAGACAAGGCCAAAGGGACAAGGUUUAAAAUCUGGAGGAUAUGGCAUCUCUGCAGGAUUCACCAAUGGUGGGGCAACCAAGGCACAGCAGGGAUAUGGAGGAUAUGCUAAUGGAGCUAAGCAACCUAAUACAGGCUCUUCUCUUCAAAAUAUGGGUUAUCCCAAUGGUGGAACCAAGGGACCUAAACCAGGUAAACUUUUUCCGUGUGUAAUACAUAUGGUGUCUGGACCCUCAAAUGGACAAGGAGCCAAGCCUAACGGCUCUUCUCUUCAAAAUAUGGGGUAUCCCAAUGGUGAACCCAAGGGACCUAAGCCAGGCUCUUCUCUUCGAAAUAUGGGGUAUCCCAAUGGAGGAACCAAAGGACCUAAACCAGGAUAUGGUGCUAAAGCUGGACCCUCAAAUGGACAAGAGGCCAAGCCUAAUGGCUCUUUUCUUCAAAAUAUGGGUUAUCCCAAUGGUGGAACCAAGGGACCUAAACCAGGAUAUGGUGCUAAAGCUGGACCCUCAAACGGACAAGGAGCCAAGCCUGUAAAACUGCUUUGGCUUCUAGGAUAUAUGCCUGUAACAGCUGGGAAAGAGGGUGUUGCCAGUGGAAAAGGACCUAAAGGGGAGAUUUUAAGCCCUGAAGCACCAAGUCAUCUCCCACUAACAUCUAACACCAAGGGAGUUUUACCACUAGCUGAGCUUGUGCCAAAUAUAGGAUUGCUUCCUGAACAAACUAAAGACUUUCCACCGGUCCUGCAACAAACGAAAGGACAAAAUCUUAAUGCACCACUUCAACAGGGCAAAGACCCCAACUCUAUGGGACCUCAGCCUGCUCCAAAGCAAUUUAUGCAAGGUCCAGGAUUUUAUAAACCUAGUAAAGCUUAUAAACCACCCACACCUGUAUUUCCACAAAACAAAGCUUCAAAAUCAGGUGCACCAUCAAUCCCUCAAGCAAUCCCUGCACAAGGAUCAGCUCCCAUUCCUCAGACGAGUUCUCCUCAAACAUCACAGACAGCUGCACUAGAGCAGGGACAAGUGCUGUCACAGGAACAAACCGUCACUCCAGUGAUACCACAGCCAAUUAUGCCACAAGGCAGUAUUUCUUCACAGGUGCCUCUGGUGCCAAAUGCGGCUGCUCCUCAAAUAACUCCAGAGAUGCAACAAUCCAAGAUUCAGUCAAAGCCAGCUUUGCCUCAAAUGAAGAAUCCAUCGAUAACAAAUCCUGAACUCACUGGUCUAGGACAACCUAAUGGACAGAUGCAGGGAGCUAUACCUUCAAAGCCUGAUUGUGGACCUGGUGGACGACCUAAUGGACAAUGGGUCAAACUUCCAAGUCCUGGUGAAUUUCUUUAUGUUGUGCAUAAGAUUAUUGUUUUAAUUUUGUCCCUAGGCUUUGGAGCAGGAAUUGGUGGUUAUCCAGCUCAUGGCAUUAACAAUGGCUACAAAGCAGGUAUAUUAUUUCAAAACAUAUUUUAUUGUAAUUUACAUGACUUAUUAUUUGCUGGAUCACAAGGUGGGCAGCCAAUAGGAUUCGGAUCUAAGGGAAAAUCACGAGCAAAAUAUGGAAUUGGUGGACUUCCAUUUGGUUCCCAUAAUGGAUAUCAAACCAACCCCUCUGGACAAUAUGGUAAUGAAGGACAGCGCUAUGGAGCCAAACCCUACAAUCCUCAAGCACUGGGAAAACACGGAUAUGGUAGUUUACCGUACAACUCUCAACCUCUUCUUCCAGAAUCUGUUGCCAAAUCAUCCGACUUUGGAGGGUUACCCUACAAUGGUCAGCCGCUUGGAUAUGGUGGUGACAAGUCGUCUGGAAAAUACGGACAAAAGGGUCUUCAUUAUGGUGGUCAGCCGUUUGAUCUCAGGCCUGAUGCUAUGUCUGUGAAUUAUGGUUCUCCAGAAUCCUUGUAUAAUCCAGAAUCUCUCAGUCUCAGUGGCGAUGCCAAAUCAGCUAAAUAUGGUAAUCCAGCAGUGUCAUAUGAGCUCCUCGGCCCUGUGACUGAUGGCCAGUCUGUUGAAGAAAACAGAAGCCUGGAGGCUUUGCACCAAGGUCCUGAGAUUGAUGGACAUAAAUCCAUUGACCAGUUUGGAGAUGGAGAGGUUCCAACCCAUCCUGAUACUCCAGGAACUGGAGAGGCGAAUGCACAAUACAUAAACAAAUACGGAACAGGUGAUUAUACCGAUGGAAGAGUACAACCAGAAGUUGUCUCUUUCCCUGGUGUUCCCACUGUGGGCCCCGCUCCUCACAUCCCUGCUGUCACCUCAUUUGACACCACACUGGACGGUUCCUCCCUGGCCCCUGUCUCUGUGCCUGAUGUGUCUGCUGUUUCUGAGGUGCCCGUCUCAGCCACAUUCCCUCAACCUGAGCUGCCCACUCUAAAGCAGCAGCCAGCCCCACCACAACAGAUUCACAUCCAGCAGCACCUCAAGUUCCACUUCCAGCCACAGGGCAACUCCCAGACAGGAAAGGAAGGCAAAUACAAAUUGAAUGGUUUCUUUGGAAAUAAAUACCAAGGUAUAUACAUUUAA